rnacentral:rRNA from 1 species
GAUGAACGCUGGCGGCGUGCCUAAUACAUGCAAGUCGAGCGAACAGAUAAGGAGCUUGCUCCUUUGACGUUAGCGGCGGACGGGUGAGUAACACGUGGGUAACCUACCUAUAAGACUGGGAUAACUUCGGGAAACCGGAGCUAAUACCGGAUAACAUUUGGAACCGCAUGGUUCUAAAGUGAAAGAUGGUUUUGCUAUCACUUAUAGAUGGACCCGCGCCGUAUUAGCUAGUUGGUAAGGUAACGGCUUACCAAGGCGACGAUACGUAGCCGACCUGAGAGGGUGAUCGGCCACACUGGAACUGAGACACGGACCAGACUCCUACGGGAGGCAGCAGUAGGGAAUCGUCCGCAAUGGGCGAAAGCCUGACGGAGCAACGCCGCGUGAGUGAUGAAGGGUUUCGGCUCGUAAAACUCUGUUAUUAGGGAAGAACAAAUGUGUAAGUAACUGUGCACGUCUUGACGGUACCUAAUCAGAAAGCCACGGCUAACUACGUG